UGCAAGUCGAACGAGUUCUCGUUGAUGAUCGGUGCUUGCACCGAGAUUCAACAUGGAACGAGUGGCGGACGGGUGAGUAACACGUGGGUAACCUGCCCUUAAGUGGGGGAUAACAUUUGGAAACAGAUGCUAAUACCGCAUAGAUCCAAGAACCGCAUGGUUCUUGGCUGAAAGAUGGCGUAAGCUAUCGCUUUUGGAUGGACCCGCGGCGUAUUAGCUAGUUGGUGAGGUAAUGGCUCACCAAGGCGAUGAUACGUAGCCGAACUGAGAGGUUGAUCGGCCACAUUGGGACUGAGACACGGCCCAAACUCCUACGGGAGGCAGCAGUAGGGAAUCUUCCACAAUGGACGCAAGUCUGAUGGAGCAACGCCGCGUGAGUGAAGAAGGCUUUCGGGUCGUAAAACUCUGUUGUUGGAGAAGAAUGGUCGGCAGAGUAACUGUUGUCGGCGUGACGGUAUCCAACCAGAAAGCCACGGCUAACUACGUGCCAGCAGCCGCGGUAAUACGUAGGUGGCAAGCGUUAUCCGGAUUUAUUGGGCGUAAAGCGAGCGCAGGCGGUUUUUUAAGUCUGAUGUGAAAGCCCUCGGCUUAACCGAGGAAGCGCAUCGGAAACUGGGAAACUUGAGUGCAGAAGAGGACAGUGGAACUCCAUGUGUAGCGGUGAAAUGCGUAGAUAUAUGGAAGAACACCAGUGGCGAAGGCGGCUGUCUGGUCUGUAACUGACGCUGAGGCUCGAAAGCAUGGGUAGCGAACAGGAUUAGAUACCCUGGUAGUCCAUGCCGUAAACGAUGAAUGCUAGGUGUUGGAGGGUUUCCGCCCUUCAGUGCCGCAGCUAACGCAU
rnacentral:rRNA from 2 species